rnacentral:rRNA from 1 species
AAUAGAUACCCCGGUAGUCCACGCCGUAAACGAUGAGUGCUAAGUGUUAGGGGGUUUCCGCCCCUUAGUGCUGCAGCUAACGCAUUAAGCACUCCGCCUGGGGAGUACGGUCGCAAGACUGAAACUCAAAGGAAUUGACGGGGGCCCGCACAAGCGGUGGAGCAUGUGGUUUAAUUCGAAGCAACGCGAAGAACCUUACCAGGUCUUGACAUCUUCUGACAAUCCUAGAGAUAGGACGUCCCCUUCGGGGGCAGAGUGACAGGUGGUGCAUGGUUGUCGUCAGCUCGUGUCGUGAGAUGUUGGGUUAAGUCCCGCAACGAGCGCAACCCUUGAUCUUAGUUGCCAGCAUUCAGUUGGGCACUCUAAGGUGACUGCCGGUGACAAACCGGAGGAAGGUGGGGAUGACGUCAAAUCAUCAUGCCCCUUAUGACCUGGGCUACACACGUGCUACAAUGGACAGAACAAAGGGCAGCGAAACCGCGAGGUUAAGCCAAUCCCACAAAUCUGUUCUCAGUUCGGAUCGCAGU